GAUGAACGCUGGCUGUGUGCCUAAUACAUGCAUGUCGAGCGAAGCACUUUUGUGCUUAGCGGCGAAUGGGUGAGUAACACGUACUUAACCUACCCUCAAGAUUGGGACAACACUUGGAAACGAGUGCUAAUACCAAAUACGUAUUUUUAUCGCAUGAUAGAUAUAUAAAAGGAGCUUCGGCUUCACUAGAGGAUGGGAGUGCGCUACAUUAGUUAGUUGGUAGGGUAAUGGCCUACCAAGACUAUGAUGUAUAGCGGGGCCGAGAGGCUGAUCCGCCACACUGGGACUGAGAUACGGCCCAGACUCCUACGGGAGGCAGCAGUAGGGAAUUUUCCACAAUGAACGAAAGUUUGAUGGAGCGACACAGCGUGCAGGAUGAAGGUCUUCGGAUUGUAAACUGCUGUUAUAAGAGAAGAAAAACCCUGGUAGGUAAUGACCAGGACUUGACGGUACCUUAUCAGAAAGCGACGGCUAACUAUGUGCCAGCAGCCGCGGUAAUACAUAGGUCGCAAGCGUUAUCCGGAAUUAUUGGGCGUAAAGAGUUCGUAGGUGGUUUUGUAAGUCUGAAGUUAAAUACCGGGGCUCAACCCCGGCCCGCUUUGGAUACUGCAAAACUAGAGUAAUAGAGAGGUUAGUGGAACUCCAAGUGAAGCGGUGGAAUGCGUAGAUAUUUGGAAGAACAUCAAUGGCGAAGGCAACUAACUGGAUAUUAACUGACACUGAGGAACGAAAGCGUGGGUAGCAAACAGG
rnacentral:rRNA from 1 species